rnacentral:rRNA from 1 species
CCUACGGGAGGCAGCAGUAGGGAAUCUUCGGCAAUGGACGAAAGUCUGACCGAGCAACGCCGCGUGAGUGAAGAAGGUUUUCGGAUCGUAAAACUCUGUUGUUAGAGAAGAACAAGUGGGAGAGUAACUGUUCCCACCUUGACGGUAUCUAACCAGAAAGCCACGGCUAACUACGUGCCAGCAGCCGCGGUAAUACGUAGGUGGCAAGCGUUGUCCGGAUUUAUUGGGCGUAAAGCGAGCGCAGGCGGUUUCUUAAGUCUGAUGUGAAAGCCCUCGGCUCAACCGAGGAAGGUCAUUGGAAACUGGGGAACUUGAAUGCAGAAGAGGAGAGUGGAAUUCCAUGUGUAGCGGUGAAAUGCGUAGAUAUAUGGAGGAACACCAGUGGCGAAGGCGACUCUCUGGUCUGUAAUUGACGCUGAGGCUCGAAAGCGUGGGGAGCAAACAGGAUUAGAUACCCUGGUAGUCCACGCCGUAAACGAUGAGUGCUAAGUGUUGGAGGGUUUCCGCCUUCAGUGCUGCAGUUAACGCAUUAAGCNCNCNCNGGNGNGCGCGAGNGNGANANAGAGUAGNGNGNGAGAGNGCGAGNGCGAGAGGAGAG